rnacentral:rRNA from 1 species
UACGUAGGGCGCAAGCGUUGUCCGGAAUUAUUGGGCGUAAAGAGCUCGUAGGCGGUUUGUCGCGUCUGCUGUGAAAACCUAAGGCUCAACCUUGGGCUUGCAGUGGGUACGGGCAGACUAGAGUGCGGUAGGGGGUGACUGGAAUUCCUGGUGUAGCGGUGGAAUGCGCAGAUAUCAGGAGGAACACCGAUGGCGAAGGCAGGUCACUGGGCCGCAACUGACGCUCGAUGCACGAAAGCGUGGGGAGCAAACAGG